GGUGUAGCUACUAACACCGUUAUCAAGCAAAUGAUAAUGAUAAUGGUGUUAGUAGCUACACCGAAACGUCGCUCAUAUUAUAUGAAAGAAGUUGUAUAUCCAUAGAACUCUCCUCGUUGUUCAGCUGAUAUCGCUGUUGUUCAAUCAUGCAAAAAAGGGCUAAUGUGAUUGGUUGUCUAUUUUUAGCAUUUCAAUCACACAAGACUCAAAUCAAAGUGUAGGCGGCAGAGCGGCAGAUAUGUAUCAUUCUGAGCAGAGCUUUAAUGUUCUGGAUAACUGAGGGUGUCAUUUUUUGGUUUGGUUUCCCUUUUUUUAAAAAGAAAAUACAUCACCAACUGGUCAAGCCUCUUCUUCACAGUCAUACCUUUAUUUGCUUGAAUAUUAAUUUGCUGUUUAAAUUUUGCUCAAUGUAGAUAGACAUUUUACAAACACUAGCUAUUAUAUUUAACUGUAAAUAUGUACAGACUAUUCUUGUGAAUUUUGUAAACACAUAGCAAUAUUUUUUCACAUUGUCAUGCAGAUAUUGAUUUAUAUAAGGAAUACUGAAGGCUGUGUUAAUGAUAAUUAUGGAGAUGUUCAAUAUAACAAGUAUAUUUCAGAUAUGUAUACGCAAGGUGUUUGCGUUAUCGUACACAACAGGGAAAUGUUGUGAUGGCCACCCAGAACCAAUACAGAAUCCUGAUCCACAAGGCAAUCGUAGAGCUACGACAUUCGUAAUCCUAUGGUUAACUAUAGAGUUACGGCAGGUCGUAAAGUUACGAACACUCUGUGGAUUGGGGCGCAGGAGAACAAAUUUACACCCAUAUUUCAAGUUUCUGUGACACAAGGGAGACAGUGAAGAAUACAUGUAGUUAGAUGUUGUGGUACAGGACUGUUUUAGCUCUUUAAUUAGACCUGCUUAGAGGCCAAUGUUAACAUCAAGUCUGCAGCAAAUGUCAUUUAAGCCUCACAGAUUGGAAUGAUACAUUUUCCAAUUCAUGUUAAUGUGUUGACUAAUAUGAUGGCUUGUACAGGUCACUUGUUUUUCAUUGGUUUCAGAACCAAUAAAGAAGUGGCUUUAAUGCCCAGAUCUACAAUAUUUCACUGAAUACAUUAAGAUAUUUCUAAAAAAUUCAACUUUGAACAGAAUAUAUAAUUGUCUGCUUCUAGUCUGCCAGCCAAGGGAACUUGGCCAGAAAUCCUGCAUUAAACCCUUGGUUCCAUAGUCUCAAUGUCAGAUUUAGGGAUCCAAGCCCAUGUUUGUUGGUCAGGGGACUCAGUUGUUAUUGCUACAUGGAUGAAGCUUUUUCUUGAUUGGGUAGCCUAGGGGUUAAAGUGUUCGCUCAUCAUGCUGAAGACCCGGGUUCGAUUCCCCACAUGGGUACAAUGUGUGAAGCCCAUUUCUGGUGUCCGCCGUUGUGAUAUUGCAGGAAUAUUGCUAAAAGCGGCGUAAAACUAAGUACAUGCCAUUAUCAGGGCUGGAAUAUUGAGAAAGAGGAUAAGCUGUCUCACUAUUCACUGUUGCCCAUGCUUGCUUAAAACCAUACAGAUGCAUUAAGAUAGUCUGUCUCCCAGACCCUGACAAUUAAUUGCCUCACAAGAAGAAAUUCAGGAUUGUUCAGGGAUUCAUCUGGAUUAGUUUUUAAGACAAAUAUAUUUUUUACAUUUUUAAAUAGUAUACUAAUAACUGUAUUUCUUGGUCUAAAUGUCAGUCUAACAUCAAUAACCCUAGUCUGCAACCGCUCACAACCAAGUAGUUUUGUUUAUACUGCUACAAUACAGCUGCCAUUACAACUUGCCAGUUGUCAUCAAAUGAUCUGAUUGAAGUGUUCUUUUAUUGUUUCCUUAACAAACAGGGUAAGACACUAAACUAAUGACAGAUAGGUCCAGAUAUCAUGAAACUGUCACAGGCAGGCAGGUCUUUAGAAGCCAGUCUGUGUUGGAUUGACUCACAUAUGGUCUUCCUUUUCGUAAGACAUCAAUGCUCGGAGUAGAUUUCAUUGCCAAACUAACAAUGAGCCUUAUUGUUAUAAUUGGUGUCACUGUUUUGCAUGAAGUUUCUGUUACGUUUCACUGGACAUGGUUUGUUUCACUGUAACACAAGGACAGGAAGUUACAGAUAUGGGAUUUUCAGUGAAUAAAUACAUCGGAAAUA